rnacentral:rRNA from 1 species
CCCCAGACUCCUACGGGAGGCAGCAGUGGGGAAUAUUGCACAAUGGGGGAAACCCUGAUGCAGCGACGCCGCGUGGAGGAAGAAGGUCUUCGGAUUGUAAACUCCUGUCCUUGGGGACGAUAAUGACGGUACCCAAGGAGGAAGCACCGGCUAACUACGUGCCAGCAGCCGCGGUAAAACGUAGGGUGCAAGCGUUGUCCGGAAUUACUGGGUGUAAAGGGAGCGCAGGCGGAUUGACAAGUUGGGAGUGAAAACUACGGGCUCAACCCGUAACCUGCUUUCAAAACUGUCAGUCUUGAGUGGUGUAGAGGUAGGCGGAAUUCCCGGUGUAGCGGUGAAAUGCGUAGAUAUUAGGAGGAACACCAGUGGCGAAGGCGGCCUGCUGGGCUUUUACUGACGCUGAGGCUCGAAAGUGUGGGGAGCAAACAGGAUUAGAUACCCGAGUAGG